CAAAAUUAUCUUAAAAUCAAACCCACUUACCUUUUCAGGGUUUUAAACACCAUCUCAUGGUCUUCAUCAGUGAACGGACCAGGCACUGGUACAGCGUUGCAGCUCAUCAGGAAUUCCUGCAACAGAAGAAUCUUUGACGCACUAUGCAUACCUGCUCCAGGCUGCGCUGUUUAUUCUCCUUGGAUUAACUUCCCCAAACGUCCACCCUCCUCCUCCUCCUCAUCUUCCUCCUCCUCUCCCACCUCCACACAGGGAAAGAAAAAACAACUAGAGACACUUGGCUCUUCAUCAUAUUGCAAAUCUGCUCUGACUGAGCUUGUAAACGCACACACACACACACACACACACACACACACACACACACACACACACACACACACACACUCACACACACACACACACACUCACAAAAUCAAGCUUUUUGCCACUGUUCCUCUCCGGCCCCCUCUGCAUUAGCAUGGAAGUCAUCCAUAUUGAUGUUAGGUGAUUCAUGUGCUGCCAGCCUCUUUGUUUUAUCUUUUUUUCCUUGCCUCCUCGCCCUCUUUACCCAGGCAAAGCUUUCUGGGGAUCAGGGGGGUGAUUAAGGCGAGGAGAGAUGGAGGAGUGGUUGACCGAGGACCCCAGGGUGGUGGGGGUGGAGGUGGGCAGGUUUGUAGCCCCGGUCCCCCUGGUGAUGAGGUGGAGCCUAAUUGAUUUGUCAAUGUGGAGCCAUCUGGCACAGAAAGAUGGGCCUCCAACCUGUUCUCCUUCCUGAGGUGGGAGGGGAUGGGGGGUGGCAUCAGGAGAGUCAGGUUGGAUUACACACACGACACACUCCUUGGGAUUUUAUGAUAUCUCUUAUUCUUUCACCCACACACUCACCUUUGUUACAAAGUGUGUCUUCCUUUGCUUCUUUUUCUAGAUCAUUUACUAAUCCAGUGCACUGGUUCCGCCUCCCAGCACACACCCAGUGAAUGAUGAUGGGGACAGACGGCAUCACAGAGCCCGGAGGGGUGGGCCCCCAGCCAAAAAGGAAACAGACAUGUCUCUUAACCCUGGUCUCUUAAGCCCGGGUGGGGAUCAAAAGGUCAGGGGGUACUGAUGGACGCCGGCGCAGAAACGAAGCCUCUGGUGUCUU
rnacentral:lncRNA from 1 species